rnacentral:rRNA from 1 species
AUUGAACGCUGGCGGCAGGCUUAACACAUGCAAGUCGAGCGGAGAUGAGGUGCUUGCACCUUAUCUUAGCGGCGGACGGGUGAGUAAUGCUUAGGCAUCUGCCUAUUAGUGGGGGACAACAGUCCGAAAGGAAUGCUAAUACCGCAUACGUCCUACGGGAGAAAGCAGGGGAUCUUCGGACGUCGCGCGAAUAGAGGAGCCUAAGUUGGAUUAGCUAGUUGGUGGGGUAAAGGCCUACCAAGGCGACGAUCUGUAGCGGGUCUGGGAGGAUGAUCCGCCACACUGGGACUGAGACACGGCCCAGACUCCUACGGGAGGCAGCAGUGGGGAAUAUUGGACAAUGGGGGGAACCCUGAUCCAGCCAUGCCGCGUGUGUGAAGAAGGCCUUAUGGUUGUAAAGCACUUUAAGCGAGGAGGAGGCUACCUGGAUUAAUACUCUGGGAUAGUGGACGUUACUCGCAGAAUAAGCACCGGCUAACUCUGUGCCAGCCGCCGCUGUAAAAC